rnacentral:rRNA from 1 species
CCUACGGGUGGCUGCAGUGAGGAAUAUUGGUCAAUGGGCGCAAGCCUGAACCAGCCAAGUCGCGUGAGGGAUGACGGUCCUAUGGAUUGUCAACCUCUUUUGUCGGGGAGCAAGGCCCGCCACGUGUGGCGGGCAGGAGAGUACCCGAAGAACCAGCAUCGGCUAACUCCGUGCCAGCAGCCGCGGUAAUACGGAGUCUGCGAGCGUUAUCCGGAUUUGUUGUGGUUAAGGGGUGCGUAGGCGGAAGGUUAAGUCAGCGGUAAAAUGUCGGUGCUCAACACCGGCCUGCCGUUGAAACUGGUCUUCGGGAGUGAGCGAGAAGUAUGCGGAAUGCGGGGUGUAGCGGUGAAAUGCAUAGAUAUCACGCAGAACUCCGAUUGCGAAGGCAGCAUACCGGCGCUCAACUGACGCUGAGGCACGAAAGCGUGGGGAUCGAACAGGAUUAGAUACCCUAGUAGUC